CCGGGUUGAUCCUGUUAGUAGCAUAUGCUUGUCUCAAAGAUUGAGCAAUAUACGUGUAAGUACAAACAGCCGGUACAGUGACACUGCAAAUGGCUCAUUGAAUUAGUGAUGGUUCUUUUGAUGGCUUGGAUAACUGUGGUUAAUCUACAGUGAAUAGUGCCAACAAAUGCUACAUCCAAGGAUGUGUGCAUUUAUCAGACCAAGACAAAUCCAGGCUUGCACAGCCAUUUUGGUGUCUCUAGAUAAGCUUGGGCAGAUCACACAUCCCCGUGAUGGCAAUGAUACAUUCUGAUGUCUGCCCUAUCAACUUUCAGGAUUCAGGAUUCAAUUCCAGAGAGGGAGCCUGAGAAACUGCUACCAUAUCCAAGGAAGUCAACCGGUGUGCAAAUUACCCCCUACCAACUUGGUAGUGAUGCAAGUUGAUAAUGCAGAACUUUUUUGAGGCACUGUAAUUGGAAUGUGUACACUUUAAAUACUUUAAUGAGGAUUCAUUGAAGGGCAAGCCUGGUUUCAGGAGCCAUGGUAAUUCCAGCUCCAAUAGCAUAUGUUAAAGUUGCUGCACUUAAAAAGCUUGUAGUUGGAUCCGGACGGUCAGGCAUGAUGCAUGCAAACAUCAGGUCAGCCCCUGCCUCUCGGCGCUCCCUUGAUGCUUUUGACUUACUGUCCUCCGGGACGGAAGUGUUUACUUUGAAUACAUUGGAGUGUUGAAAGCAGGCCGGUCGCCUGAAUACUUCAGCUAGGAAUGAUGGAAUAGGACUCAAGUUCCAUUGUUUUUGUGUUUGGAACUGGGGCCAUGGUUGAUAGGGACAACUAGGGACAUUUGUAUAGUGCUGCUACACUUGAUAUUCUUGGGCUGUCGUACUUCUAACUGUAAACGAUGCCAACACGCAAUCCAGCAGCAUUAUUUACAUGACCCGCCAAGCAGAUUCCAGGAAACCAAUGUCUUUUGGUUCCAGGGGGAGUAUGGCUGCAAAGUUGGAACUUAAUAAAAUUGACAGAAGGGCAUCAACAGGAGUGGAGCCUGUGGUUUAAUUUGACUAAACACCAAACCUCGCACAGCAUGGAAACGGAAAGUAUUGACAGAUUGAUAGCUAUUUCUCAAUUCUGGGAGUGGCGGUGCAUUGUCAUUCUUAAUUGGUGAAGCGACUUGUCUGGUUAAUUAUGAUGAUGUAAUUCUGAUAAUAAACUGGACUCCUCCAUGCUAACUAGUUACACUAAGCCCACUGGUCGGCAUUCAACUUUUUAGAAGGACAAGUACCGUUCAUCCACACGAGAUUGAGCAAUUACAGGUCUGUGAUGCCCUUAGAUAUCCAGUGCUGCACGUGCAAUACACUGAAUUGAUCAGCAUGUGUGCACCCUUUGCUGACAAGUUUGGGUUACCCACUGAACCCCGUUUGUGAUAGGGAUUGGGGAUUGCAAUUAGUUCCCAUGAACAAGGAAUUCCCAGUAAGUGUGAAUCAUUGGCUCAAGUUGAUUAAAACCCCUGCACUUUGUACACACCACCCAUCGCAACCAUUGAUUGGAUGUUUAACUGAGGUCCCCGGAUCGUCACCACUGGGGUCAGCAAUGGCUCUAGCAGAGCAUUUAGAAGCCGAUCAAACUUGACUAUCUCCAGGAACUAACAGUCAUAACAAGGUUUCUGUAGGUGAACCUGCAGAAG
rnacentral:rRNA from 1 species